UGGUCCGGUAAAGUGGCUCCCAGGAAGAUAAACUCCGUUAAUUUUUAAAUUAUAUUCUAUUUUCAAAGAGGCAUAAUUCAUUCCACUUUUUCACACAAAUUACAGAAUCAAGACAUUUUUAUAAAAAUGUUAAUCAAGAAAUCUCACUUUCAUUGGCAAGUCAGGUCAUGCUGUUAAAAGCAGAAAAGGUUUAAGAAAGUAAAUGUUAUUAAGUCUACCAGAUUUGAGGAUUAUUCACCAGCACGCACAUGCACACACACACACACACACACAAAAGGCAAAAUUUUGCUCUCCUGAAAAGGGGUCUCUCUCUUUAUAAAACUGGUAGAGAUUCUCAAAGUUUUGACAUUUGUGAGGAUGCUAACAGCCUUUACAAAUGAACAUUACAUGAUCUGUGCCAAGUCAUAUAGGAGUCAACAGGUUUGAUGUCAGAAGGUAGAACAUCCCUGAGCACCUGUUGUAGUUCAUGAAGAAUCUUCCCAUUGCAUUCUUGCAAUCCACGUGCACAUAAGGGUAUUCCCACUGAUAAUAUUCAAAAUAAGCACACAAUACUGUAAAUCACUUGUAGCAAAGAAUGUGCAAAUAUUUAGUCUUGAACUGUCUGACAAAGUGAAAAUAUGUCAUCACUCCAAUUAAAAGGAGAGG